UCUAAUUAUUUUACACAAAUGAGUAUGUCAAUCGAUAAAACUCCAUAAAAGAUGCAAACCUAGAAAAAUCUGGCUCAUAUUCUUUAAAAACAGCGGAGAUAUCAACGUUUGAAUGUGAAUUCCCAUACAAAAAUUCAAAAUAUCGGAUUCGACCGCUUUUUUAUGCAGCGCUACAAACCAUAUCACUAAACGCGUGGAUUCCACGCAUUUUACAGU